GUCUUACUAAGCAAAAUGGGUCUAAGGCCCAUUAAUAAACUUGCAAAUAAGAAUAAUAAUAAAAAUUUAAAAACAAAGAAAAAAUAAUACAAGAGUUGAGUAAGGGAAAGGGGUGGCACCCCAUUUUGAUGGACAACAUCCAACAACCCUUCCUUUCUUUUUUAUUUUAAAAAUUGAACAUCAACCAAUAGAAAUUUAUCACUUAGCCAUGAAAAGACAAAACCAAAAAUGGUAACAAUAAAACAAACAAAUGGUUAGUACGUUUCUCACUCUCUCAUCAACUAAUUUUUUUUAAAAAAAUACAAAUAAAUUGUUCAGGAAGCGUCAUGUGGCAUUAAUAUUACUAAUAGAUAAAAACAAAUAGAAAAGACACAAAGAAAUGUCAGUGAACAAUAAAACAAACCCUUCUUCUCCACUUUUUAAAUGUGAAACACAUAAAAGAAUGCCCUCUUCACUUUUUAUUCUUACCAACUAGUAAAUAAAUAGCAUGAGUGGUCCAACUCAAACUUAAGUUACAACUCAAAAAACCAAAACAACUGACGAUAGUAAUCAGAGAAAGAUCGUUGAGAUUUACAGCGGAGUGGAGGAAACUGAGCCGAGAAGCUUGCUAUCGUUGUUGUUACCAUAAACAUUGACGCCGCGUCUUUGAGUUUGUUAUCAUUGUGGCAUGAAUAUGGCGAUGAUGAGAGAGCAACGUGGUUAUUUUUGGCAAGGGAGUUUGACUGUGGGUGAAGGUUUAAGAGAGUGAGUUAGCGUGACAAAAUGAAGAACAAGUCAUGAUAUAUGAUGGUUGUGUUUUUGGUUUUCCAGUUCCUUGUUUCAUGGGAGUGAACAAAUUUUCUUUGAUGUUUAUGAAGGUUCCAUGGUAGUUUGAAGUUUCAUGGUUUGAUAUGGGCGGCGUAAGGUUGUUAUAAAUGAGAGGUUAAGUUGGUGUUGUAAGAGAUGAUGAAAGGGAGUGUUGAUAUGAUUAUUUUUUAGAUGUGAUGGUAAUAGUUUUAUAUUGGAUGAAGGCUUGUGUUAAGAAGAAGAAGUAGGGUGAGAUUAUGUGUGAUGAGUGAGGAUACAGAAGAACGAAAAGAAAUAAUGGUGAAUGAGAGUUAGUGUAUGAAGGAAGAUUAAUGGUGUAAGUGAUGCUGUGUUGUUAGCUUUUCUGCUAGUUCUUGUUUUCUCAUGAAUAAGUGGUAUGGUAUGAUGUUAGUGAUAAUGAUGACAAAACAAAAUGAAACGAAUGUGGUAGCAAGCAGAUUAGCAGGGUGGUCGGUCAUGAUGUGCAGGUUUUCGUACAUGACGGUUGUGCAUCGAGCAGUUGUAGUUCUGUGUUGUAGUUCGCGAGCAGUAGUGAGGGUUAUGUUCUAUGAAUUUUUUUUGAGAGAGUUGUAGUCUUGUAUGGUUUGUUAGUUCAUGAAGAAAUGAAUAAAAGUUCCUUUGAAGUGUAUUGUUGAAAGAAAAUGAAGGAAAACAAGUUACAGGUUUGGUUGCUGCUAUUGUAUCAAGAAUAGGAAGUGAGUGAAAAAUGUGAGGUUAAUGGGCGAGCUUUGUUAGAAGGUGAGGAAAAUUAAAUAGUGAUGACAAAACAAAAUGAAACAAAGGUGGUGGAGAUCAGAUUAGCAGGAUGGUCGGUCGUAAUAUGGUUUGGUGCAUGUAGGUUAUCGUAAUAUGGUGUUUUUAUAAUUUUUUUCGAAGAGUCAACAUGAGCAUAGAGACGUUGAGGUCCCAAAAUGGUUUCACAAAAGUCACCCUUCUUCUUUUUACUAGAGGCAACAAUUGAGUUUUUUGAGUGCCAAUCUUCCCACCUUUUAUUAACUUUUUUUAUUUAUUUUUAUUCUCUUUUAUUUAAUUGGUUAAAUGUAAAUGCAUAAGAAUUGUAAAUAUAUUGAUCAUUUGGACCUAAUGGCCAAGAUGAAAUCAAAGAAGCACAACUAAAUUAAAAUGAUAAACACGCUUCUUCUAGAUGCUUUAAUUGAUUAAAAUUAAA
rnacentral:lncRNA from 1 species